AUGAGAUGGAGCGAGUGAAACAAUAAGGGUCGAGUGGAACGGGGAACGAAACUCUUGUUAACAUUGUGUCCAAUUAUUGAUCUGCGAAUCUCAUUAAAAAAAAAAGCGGUAGCACAGUGGAGUCGCUGCACACUGUGAACAUGGUAUAGUUGGGACAACUAUAAAUGAUAUCUGACAGACAUUAAAAACACUAUCAUAAGAAACGUUUCGAUGCAAAUCUGUAGUAUUUUAAAAAAUUGAACCCCCCUGUAUAAAGGACAAUGGUUCAAUUUAAAAAAAAGUAUGCUGGGUGAGAGGAAUACUUUCGAGCGGCAAAAAACUUGACAAUGAAGGAGUUGGUUGUGCAAAUUGUUGUGAGGGUAUUUCGACUUUUGGAUCCUGUUAAAGUUAAAGUGAAGUAUUUCGACGAAUUUUAAUUAUUCAUCUGCGAGUAUAAAAAUACAACAAUGAAGUACACUGAAGACUUGAAAUUAUUGAAUAUAAAUCAACUGUGCGUUAUGUGUGCAAGUAAAAAAUAACAACCAACGCGAUAAAUAUAAUUUAAACAUUGUUAUUUACCUAAUUUUAAAGGGCGUGCAAUCAAUGCGCAAUUCACUGUGCUUUUGUAAUGGACAUGUAUAUAUACUUUGCGUUACUUUUUAUUUAAAUAAUAUUUACA